rnacentral:sRNA from 1 species
GAGUCUCCUUCCCAGGCUACGAAUACUCGGACCAGAAGUCGGGAAACUCAAAGGGGAAGGAUGUGAACUUGGCGGAGUUCGCUGUGGCUGCAGGGGACCAGAUGCUUUACGGGAGUGAGGACAUCCAACUAGAUUACAAAAACAACAUCCUGAAGGAGAGGGCGGAGCUGGCCCACAGCCCCCUGCCUGCCAAGUACAUCGACCUAGACAAAGGUGAGCGGCGGGGGGCGACCUCAGCCCAUCUCAGAGCCCUGCCUGUCCCCAUUCCACCUCACCCGGGACCAACGAUGGCAGGCACCAGCCAGGCCCGGGGCCCCUGCCACCUCAGGCUCAGAAAUCCCUGGGGAGUCCUGCGGGGGGGUCUGCCCUGUGUCUCCCACUGUGAUGAGGGUGGAGAACAGCCGCCAACCCGUUGGCGCCCUUGGCUUCCAGGGUUCCGGAAGGAGAACUGCAAAUAGGGAGGCCCUGGGCUCCUGGCUGGGCCAGCAGCUGCACCUCUCCUGUCUGUGCUCCUCGGGGCGUCUCCUGAUGCUCCCAGGCUCACCCCCCUUCCAGCGGCUGGUCCCGCUUUCCUGGAAUUUGGCCUGGGCGUAUGCAGAGGCCGCCUCCACACCCCUCUCCCAGGGGCUUGGUGGCAGCAUAGCCCUCACCCCUGCGGCCUUUGCUCACGGGUGGCCCUGCCCACCCCUGGCACAACCAAAAUCCCACUGAUGCCCAUCAUGCCCUCAGACCCUUCUGGGCUCUGCCUGCUGGGGGCUUGAAGACAUUCCUGGAGGACACUCCCAUCAGAACCUGGCAGCCCCAAAACUGGGGUCAGCCUCAGGGCAGGAGUCCCACUCCUCCAGGG